rnacentral:sRNA from 1 species
GAUCUCCUUAGAGACAGGGUCCCACUCUGUCACCCAGGGUGGAGUGCAGUGGCACAAUCAUAGCUCACUGCAGGAUUAAACCCCUGGGCUCAAGUGAUCCUCCCACCUCGGCCUCUAGAGUAGCUGGGACUACAAGCGCACACCAGCAUGCCCGGCUAAUUUCUUUUUAAUUUUUUUUUUACAGAGACAGGGUCUUGUUUCGUUGCCCAGGCUGAUAUCAAACCCUUGGACUCAAGCUGUCCUCCCACUUAAUCCUCCCAAAGUGUUGGGAUUACAGGCAUGAGCCACUGCGCCCUUCCAACUGUGGCUUCUGACCGGACACAUUGCCUUGGGAGGCCCCUCCACUCUAAUUAUAGAACCACUAUGAGCUUGUGAGACUAUCUGUGAGCCAGUCCCCUUAUUUUACAAAUGGGGAAACUGAGGCACAUACAGGCAGUGACUUUAGUUUGACCUGCAACAUGGGUGCAGCCUCCCAAAGCCCCUGUCUGGGCCCCACACCUCCAUGCAGGUUCCUGCGCUGACCUCCCUCCCCUCGUCUCUCUCCCUCUCCGAUCCCCGUGGGGCACAGGACUACGGAGGGUGAUGGUGCGGGCUCACCGGCAGGCCUGGUGCUGGCAGGACGAGUGGUAUGGGCUGAGCAUGGAGAACAUCCGGGAGCUGGAGAAGGAGGCGCAGCUCAUGCUUUCCCGCAAGAUGGCCCAGUUCAACGAGGAUGGUGAGGAGGCCACCGAGCUCGUCAAGCACGAAGCCGCCUCGGACCAGGCCUCUGGGGAGCCCCCGGAGCCCAGCAGCAGCAACGGGGAGCCGCUAGUGGGGCGCGGCCUCAAGAAACAGUGGUCCACAUCCUCCAAGUCGUCUCGGUCGUCCAAGCGGGGAGCGAGUCCUUCCCGCCACAGCAUCUCGGAGUGGAGGAUGCAGAGUAUUGCCAGGGACUCGGAUGAGAGCUCAGAUGACGAGUUCUUCGAUGCACACGAGGACCUGUCCGACACAGAGGAAAUGUUCCCCAAGGACAUCACCAAGUGGAGCUCCAAUGACCUCAUGGACAAGAUCGAGAGCCCAGAGCCGGAAGACACACAAGAUGGUCUGUACCGCCAGAGUGCCCCUGAGUUCAGGGUGGCCUCCAGUGUGGAGCAGCUGAACAUCAUAGAGGACGAGGUUAGCCAGCCGCUGGCUGCACCGCCCUCCAAGAUCCACGUGCUGCUACUGGUGCUGCACGGAGGCACCAUCCUGGACACAGGCGCCGGGGACCCCAGCUCCAAGAAGGGCGAUGCUAACACCAUCGCC